rnacentral:rRNA from 1 species
AAUGAACGCUGGCGGCGUGCUUAACACAUGCAAGUCGCGCGCGAAGGUGGCUUCGGCUACCGGAGAGCGGCGAACGGGUGAGUAACACGUGGGUAAUCUGCCUAGGAGUGGGGGAUAACCUGGGGAAACUCGGGCUAAUACCGCAUACGUCGACGGGGUCACGGCCCUGUUGAGAAAGCUGGCCUCUGCUUGCAUGCUAGCGCUCCUUGAGGAGCCCGCGGCUGAUUAGCUAGUUGGUGAGGUAACGGCUCACCAAGGCGACGAUCAGUA